CCAAUAGCGUAUAUUAAAGUUGUUGCAGUUAAAAAGCUCGUAGUUGAAUUUCGGAAUCAGUACGCCGGUCGUGCCUCCGGUAUGUACUGGUGUCACUGAUUCCUCCCUUCUGACGAACCAUCAUGCCAUUCACUUGGUGUGGUGGGAAAUCAGGACUGUUACUUUGAAAAAAUUAGAGUGUUUAAAGCAGGCUCACGCUUGAAUACAUUAACAUGGAAUAAUGAAAUAGGACGUUGAUCCUAUUUUGUUGGUUUCUAGGAUUGACGUAAUGAUUAAUAGGGAUAGUUGGGGGCAUUAGUAUUCAAUUGUCAGAGGUGAAAUUCUUGGAUUUAUUGAAGACUAACUACUGCGAAAGCAUUUGCCAAGGAUGUUUUCAUUAAUCAAGAACGAAAGUUAGGGGAUCGAAGACGAUCAGAUACCGUCGUAGUCUUAACCAUAAACUAUGCCGACUAGGGAUCGGAUGAUGUUAAUUUUUUAAUGACUCAUUCGGCGCCUUACG
rnacentral:rRNA from 1 species